rnacentral:lncRNA from 1 species
AAUAAAAAAAAAAUUUAACUUUGUCACCCUGUAUCUCGGUUAUUAUAAACUUUGUACUAAGUAUGAAAUUAUAAAUCAACAGUAUGAAAUUAUAAAUAAAUCAAUUACCUACGUUACACGUCCAUGAAGUGAUAAUUAAAGUAGGUACUCGUUUAGAUGUUCUUGACUCGGCUCCUUGAUCGCAUAUAAGAUCUACUCGUAUCAGUUCGCAUAUAAGAUCAAUUAAUGAAAACCACAAUUGGUAUUAUCAAAUUCAAGGUCAAUUGCAUGUUACAAAAAUGGAUUUUUGCUACCUUUGCGUUUGGACUCCAAAAGGAAUAAAAA